CCUACGGGAGGCAGCAGUAGGGAAUUUUGCGCAAUGGGCGAAAGCCUGACGCAGCAACGCCGCGUGAUUGAUUAAGCCCUUCGGGUUGUAAAGAUCUGUCAGCGGGGACGAAACUGACCGUUACCCACAAAGGAACCACCGGCUAACUCCGUGCCAGAAGCGGCGGUAAUACGGAGGGUCCAACCGUUGUCCGGAAUCAUUGGUGGUAAAGUGUACGUAGGUGGAAUGUAACGUCUGGUGUGAAAUGCAGGAGCUCAACUUCGGAUUGGCAAUGGAUACUGGUAAGCUGGAGUGCGGUAGAGGUAAGCGGAAGUCAUGGUGUAGCGGUGAAAUGCGUAGAUAUCAGGAGGAACACCGGUGGCGAAGGCGGUUUACUGGACUGUAAUUGACACUGAGGCACGAAAGCGGGGGUAGCAAACAGGAUUAGAUACCCUUGUAGUC
rnacentral:rRNA from 1 species